GCCAGCGUGGUGUAAUGGUUUGAGUGUUGGACUGUGACUUUAUAGACCAGGGUUCAAAUCCCUAUUUGGCC